rnacentral:rRNA from 1 species
AGCUAAUAGAUACCCCGGUAGUCCACGCCGUAAACGAUGGGUACUAGGUGCCUGGGGGAGCGACCCCCUGGGUGCCGGCGCUAAACGCAGGAAAGUACCCCGCCUGGGGAGUACGGCCGCAAGGCUGAAACUCAAAGGAAUUGACGGGGGUCCCGCACAAGCGGUGGAGCAUGUGGUUUAAUUCGACGCAACGCGAAGAACCUUACCUAGGCUUGACAUGCAUGGGAAACCUCCUGAGAAACCCAGGAGCCUCCUUCGGGAUCCAUGCACAGGUGCUGCAUGGCUGUCGUCAGCUCGUGUCGUGAGAUGUUGGGUUAAGUCCCGCAACGAGCGCAACCCCGUGUUCUUAGUUGCCAGCGCGUAAUGGCGGGGUACUCUAGGAAGACUGCCGGUGCCAAA